rnacentral:tRNA from 1 species
ACCUGGCUGGCUCAGUGGUUGAGCAUCUGCCUUCGGCUCAGGGCAUGAUCCUGGAGUUCUGGGAUCGAGUCCCACGUCGGGUU